rnacentral:lncRNA from 1 species
AAAAAUGGUGAAAGGUUUUCAUAAGGUUGAUGUUCAUGAUGGCCUAUUUGCAUCGUUCUGGUUUGAUAAAUGGCUGAGUCUUGGAAGAAUUCAUAACAUCAGCCGUAGAAGAGGAUAUAUUGAUUUCUGGAAUCCCAUCAAACGCAAUGGUGGCAGUGGUUGUGAACUCCCGAAAUAUGUCACAUAAUGGAUACUCUGAAUGAAAUUAAAGAAGAGCUGAUUAAGAUACUUAGAUACUCGAAGGGAAAAAGCGAUGUUCAUUUGUGGCACAACGCAGAGGCGAUAAGAAUGAUUUGUAUAAAGGCAUUUGGUUUCGACAUGGAACAGUACUAAAUACUCAUUAUGCACAUGACUUUCUUUUUGAAUCAAUUAGCAACUAAAGAUCGUACGGUGACCUUGAACAUGGGCCAACAAAAAGGAUGUGUGUUAUGCCUCCAACCAUAAACACGUGACAACCGUUUUUCAUUUGCAUGUUCUCAUCAAAAGUCUGGUGCGGCCUUAAUGGGAAAUCUUUGGAAACUCAAUUCACUACAAAAUGGGAUCAAUUAAGCUUAUUUCACAUCUCAAAUCUGAACUGGAUCGACACAGUCCUCAUUUCAUAUGUAUUACAAUCAAUUGUCUAAACUUAUAGUAUGGAAUAAGUAGUCGAAAACAUGGAGAAAAAGCAAUGCAAUUUGUUAGUCUAAUGAUAUGAUCAAGUUAUAUCCCUACAAGCUACUCUGCAAAUUCAGAAGUACAGUGCAAUAUUAAAAAAUCGAAUCCACAUCGACUCUGAAUCACUCAAUAGACUUCAGUCAUCGUAUUAAGCUAAACACAAUAGAAUGUAAUGCAAGUAAAGAGAAUGAAAAGC